GCCAAUCUUCCUCCGCAAAAAAAGAGGAGGAUUGGCAGCAGAUGUUAGCUCAGGGCUAAUCUUCCUCAAAAAGAAAAAAAAAAGGUAACUAUGCGAGGUGGUGAUGCAUUGUUAAUUAGCGUCAUUGUAGUAACCAUUUCACAAUGUGUACACAUAGCAAAUCAUCACACUGUACACCUUAAAUAUACACCAUUUUUAUUUGUCAAUUAUACCUCCAUAAAGCUGAAAAAAAGGGAAUAUUUGUUAAAAACAACAACAACAAAGGCACCAGCAGUCCGCGAUUCUAAUCCUGGCUGUGCCUUUAAACCACUGAGUGAUGCUCCUCAAGUCCCAAAUGCUGCAAGACCUCAGUUCCCCAGUGGACCAGGAGGGACUCGAAUCCUAAGGUCUGCAAUGCCUCCAGAGCUCUGAGAAUCCACGGCUGUUACGGAGCUUGUGAAUUUUCACCAAGUUUCCUGAAGCCGUGCGGGUGGUCCCAGCCACAGGAAGAAGGAAGGCAAGAGAGGUCUUCCCGGUGGGACUUCAGAGACCAGGUGGAUUCUGCCUGGUUUCCCAGCCCAGCUCCACCACUGCGUAAUAACGGUGGGCACUUUACAUAAUCUCCCCGUGCCUCAGGAGGGAGGUGAGUGAGCAGCUCUGGGGGUGGAGCACGUGGUCCUGCUGGAGGCGCGGGAGGCAGAUCUCGGCAGAAUCAGAAAAGGAAGCAGAGAGGAGAGGUUUCAGAUGUUGCCUGAGUGUGUAAGCCAGAGUGUGGGCGUUGGAGAGCACCUGGGGUGCCACAGGAUUCUCUCC
rnacentral:lncRNA from 1 species